GAUGAACGCUGGCGGCGUGCCUAAUACAUGCAAGUCGAGCGAACAGACGAGGAGCUUGCGCCUCUGACGUUAGCGGCGGACGGGUGAGUAACACGUGGAUAACCUACCUAUAAGACUGGGAUAACUUCGGGAAACCGGAGCUAAUACCGGAUAAUAUAUUGAACCGCAUGGUUCAAUAGUGAAAGACGGUUUUGCUGUCACUUAUAGAUGGUUCCGCGCCGCAUUAGCUAGUUGGUAAGGUAACGGCUUACCAAGGCGACGAUGCGUAGCCGACCUGAGAGGGUGAUCGGCCACACUGGAACUGAGACACGGUCCAGACUCCUACGGGAGGCAGCAGUAGGGUAUCUUCCGCAAUGGGCGAAAGCUUGACGGAGCAACGCCGCGUGAGUGAUGAAGGUCUUCGGAUCGUAAAACUCUGUUAUUAGGGAAGAACAAAUGUGUAAGUAACUAUGCACGUCUUGACGGUACCUAAUCAGAAAGCCACGGCUAACUACGUG
rnacentral:rRNA from 1 species